rnacentral:rRNA from 1 species
GACGAACGCUGGCGGCGUGCUUAACACAUGCAAGUCGAACGGUAAGGCCCUUCGGGGUACACGAGUGGCGAACGGGUGAGUAACACGUGGGUGAUCUGCCCUGCACUUCGGGAUAAGCCUGGGAAACUGGGUCUAAUACCGGAUAGGACCACUGCCUGCAUGGGUGGUGGUGGAAAGCUUUUGCGGUGUGGGAUGGGCCCGCGGCCUAUCAGCGUGUUGGUGGGGUGAUGGCCUACCAAGGCGACGACGGGUAGCCGGCCUGGGAGGGUGACCGGCCACACUGGGACUGAGAUACGGCCCGGACUCCUACGGGAGGCAGCAGUGGGGAAUAUUGGACAAUGGGCGCAAGCCUGAUGCAGCGACGCCGCGUGAGGGAUGACGGCCUUCGGGUUGUAAACCUCUUUCAGCACCGACGAAGCGCAAGUGACGGUAGGUGCAGAAGAAGGACCGGCCAACUACGUGCCAGCCGCCGCAGUAA